rnacentral:rRNA from 1 species
UACGUAGGGUGCGAGCGUUAAUCGGAAUUACUGGGCGUAAAGCGUGCGCAGGCGGUUUGCUAAGUCCGAUGUGAAAUCCCCGGGCUCAACCUGGGAACUGCAUUGGUGACUGGCAGGCUAGAGUAUGGCAGAGGGGGGUAGAAUUCCACGUGUAGCAGUGAAAUGCGUAGAGAUGGGGAGGAAUACCGAUGGCGAAGGCAGCCCCCUGGGCCAAUACUGACGCUCAUGCACGAAAGCGUGGGGAGCAAACAGG